rnacentral:lncRNA from 1 species
CGGAGAAGCGCCGUGGGAGGCGCUGAAGUUCUCCAACCCGUCGCGAAGUAAUUCCGUUCCUUCGAUGGUGACCCCGGGGGUUCCUGCAAAGGGGGAAUGGCUCCCUGGUGGCGUUCCCUCCCGCUCGGGCCACUACAUGAACACUGUUGGAGGAACCAAAAUAGACCAGAAGAUGACGGUGUAUGCUUCUUGGGACGAAGUAAAAAAUACAUAUAGCAGCACUUUGGUUUAUAGCAGCUCUCAUAUGGUGCAACUUUCACACUGCAUCUCCAUUUUGGCUACUUGACACCAUGGAGCUCAUAGCGUCCUGGCCAGGAGGACCUUGGUGCAAAGCAGCCCCAGCAGAUGCUCCCACCUCCACAACCCUUGUGAACGUGCAGCCCUUCAGAGGGAGUUUGGUGUUGGUUGUGCUGGUCAUGGCCAGUCUGCAGUGCCUGGUGUGUGGGGCAGAGACCACAGGGGCAGGUGUCAGUGAUGGCCUGGGCGGAAAAACAAAGUCAUUUCUAUUUAGCAGCUUUCCCAGCCACAUGGAAGAGCAACAAGGCAGGUGAAGGGACUAGAAAACAAGUGUUAUGAGGAGUGACUGAG